rnacentral:rRNA from 1 species
CUACGGGAGGCUGCAGUAAGGAAUAUUGCACAAUGGGGGAAACCCUGAUGCAGCAACGCCGCGUGGACGAAGAAGGCCUUCGGGUCGUAAAGUCCUUUUCUGAGGGAAGAGGAAGGACGGUACCUCAGGAAUAAGUCUCGGCUAACUACGUGCCAGCAGCCGCGGUAAAACGUAGGAGGCGAGCGUUAUCCGGAUUCACUGGGCGUAAAGGGCAUGUAGGCGGUUGUUUAAGUUAGGUGUGACAUCUCUCGGCUUAACUGGGAGGGAGCGCUUAAAACUAGGCAACUAGAGGGCGGAAGAAGGGGGUAGAACUCCAAAUGUAGCGGUGGAAUGCUCAGAUAUUUGGAAGAAUACCAGUGGCGAAGGCGACCCCCCGGUCCGUGCCUGACGCUGAGAGGCGAAAGCUAGGGUAGCGAACGGGAUUAGAUACCCGCGUAGUC